UACGGGGGGGGCAAGCGUUGUUCGGAAUUACUGGGCGUAAAGGGCGUGUAGGCGGCCAACUAAGUCCGACGUGAAAUCCCCAGGCUUAACCUGGGAACUGCGUCGGAUACUGGAUGGCUUGAAUCCGGGAGAGGGAUGCAGAAUUCCAGGUGUAGCGGUGAAAUGCGUAGAUAUCUGGAGGAACACCGGUGGCGAAGGCGACGUCCUGGACCGGCAUUGACGCUGAGGCGCGAAAGCCAGGGGAGCAAACGGG
rnacentral:rRNA from 1 species